AUCCUAACAUGAGCAAAGUCGAAGGCUCGAUUUUCUAAAGAUCGAAUGGGGGAGAGGCCCUCACAACGGCCCUUAUGUGCCCCCACAUUCUUGUCAGGAAUAAGAGGAGAACCUCAUCCUAACACGAGCUGAAAUCGACUGUCGGGAAUGAGGGGAGGACCUCAUCCCGAUGCAAACAAAGAAUCGGUUGAUCAACAAGGAGGAAAGCUUCCUCAAUGGCUCCUCCACACUCUCACGGCCCCGUCAAGAGC
rnacentral:lncRNA from 1 species